GAUGAACGCUGGCGGCGUGCUUAACACAUGCAAGUCGAACGGUGAAGGCGGAGCUUGCUCUGCUGGAUCAGUGGCGAACGGGUGAGUAACACGUGAGCAAUCUGCCCCUGACUCUGGGAUAAGCGCUGGAAACGGCGUCUAAUACUGGAUACGAGCUGCGAAGGCAUCUUCAGCAGCUGGAAAGAACUUCGGUCAGGGAUGAGCUCGCGGCUUAUCAGCUUGUUGGUGAGGUAACGGCUCACCAAGGCGUCGACGGGUAGCCGGCCUGAGAGGGUGACCGGCCACACUGGGACUGAGACACGGCCCAGACUCCUACGGGAGGCAGCAGUGGGGAGUAUUGCACAGUGAGCGAGAGCCUGAUGCAGCAACGCCGCGUGAGGGACGACGGCCUUCGGGUUGUAAACCUCUUUUAGCAGGGAAGAAGCGGUAGUGACGGUACCUGCAGAAAAAGCGCCGGCUAACUACGUG
rnacentral:rRNA from 1 species